rnacentral:tRNA from 1 species
GUUUCCUUAGUAUAAUAAGUACUGAUGACUUCCAAUCAUCUAGUCCUGGUUAAACCCCAGGAGAAAAUA